UGUCUGGGCUCCACCAGAAAAUUUCUGUUCAGCUAAACUAAACAAUUACUCUGAAAACCUUUUUAUUUCAACAGUAAUUAUGUCUUGAAAUAUGUUGGCUGGAAGAUAACUUCUAAGAUCUUUAGUGCUGGGGACUGAACCCAGAGCCUCACACAGGCUAGGGAGGUGAUGGACCACAAAAACAAUGGUGUUUUUUAAUGAGGU